rnacentral:rRNA from 1 species
UACACUCCUACGGGAGGCAGCAGUGGGGAAUUUUGGACAAUGGGCGAAAGCCUGAUCCAGCAAUGCCGCGUGAGUGAAGAAGGCCUUCGGGUUGUAAAGCUCUUUUGUCAGGGAAGAAACGGUGAGAGCUAAUAUCUCUUGCUAAUGACGGUACCUGAAGAAUAAGCACCGGCUAACUACGUGCCAGCAGCCGCGGUAAUACGUAGGGUGCAAGCGUUAAUCGGAAUUACUGGGCGUAAAGCGUGCGCAGGCGGUUUUGUAAGUCUGAUGUGAAAUCCCCGGGCUCAACCUGGGAAUUGCAUUGGAGACUGCAAGGCUAGAAUCUGGCAGAGGGGGGUAGAAUUCCACGUGUAGCAGUGAAAUGCGUAGAUAUGUGGAGGAACACAGAUGGCAAAGGCAGCCCCCUGGGUCAAGAUUGACGCUCAUGCACGAAAGCGUGGGGAGCAAACAGGAUUAGAUACCCGUGUAGUCCCA